UAUAUAUAUAUCCGGCAGAGAUGCACCUGCAUCAUUCUUUUUACAUAUGAGAAGGCUUGUUCAACUAGAAUAAUUAAGUUUAACUCCACACCUCACAAACUACUUUAAGAGAGAGGUGAUUAUCCCAAUGAUUACAAGACACAUUGGGAUCAACCUGUGAAAACAUAACAUACAUGAGGCAUCGAAGACAACACAGGAGAAUCAUGGCUCUUGUCUCUUCUUCAUCAAUGAGCCCUCAUCCCAUGAACAAGUAGAUGCUAAUAAACAGUUUGCAUCCCUUGGUAAGGACAAGUUCUUCUUUAUCCAAUUGAGU